rnacentral:tRNA from 1 species
GCGGGGAUGGCAGAGUGGUCAAAUGCGGCAGGCUUAGGACCUGUUCCCUUAGUGGGUACGUGGGUUCAAAUCCUACUCCCCGCA